CAGCCGCCGCGGUAACACGUAGGUGGCAAGCGUUGUCCGGAAUUAUUGGGCGUAAAGGGCUCGCAGGCGGUUUCUUAAGUCUGAUGUGAAAACCCCCGGCUCAACCGGGGAGGGUCAUUGGAAACUGGGAAACUUGAGUGCAGAAGAGGAGAGUGGAAUUCCACGUGUAGCGGUGAAAUGCGUAGAGAUGUGGAGGAACACCAGUGGCGAAGGCGACUCCCUGGUCUGUAACUGACGCUGAGGAGCGAAAGCGUGGGGAGCGAACAGGAUUAGAGACCCCAGUAGUCCCUGUCUCUUAUAC
rnacentral:rRNA from 1 species